rnacentral:rRNA from 1 species
AGUGAACGCUGGCGGCAUGCCUAACACAUGCAAGUCGAACGGCAGCACAGUGGAGCUUGCUCCAUGGGUGGCGAGUGGCGGACGGGUGAGGAAUGCAUCGGAAUCUACCCUCUUGUGGGGGAUAACCAAGCGAAAGUUUGGCUAAUACCGCAUAAGACGGCGACGUGAAAGCGGGGGACCUUCGGGCCUCGCGCGAGAGGAUGAGCCGAUGCCCGAUUAGCUAGUUGGCGGGGUAAGGGCCCACCAAGGCGACGAUCGGUAGCUGGUCUGAGAGGACGAUCAGCCACACUGGGACUGAGACACGGCCCAGACUCCUACGGGAGGCAGCAGUGGGGAAUAUUGGACAAUGGGCGCAAGCCUGAUCCAGCAAUGCCGCGUGGGUGAAGAAGGCCUUCGGGUUGUAAAGCCCUUUUGUACGGGAAGAAAAGCUCCGGGCUAAUACCUUGGGGUCAUGACGGUACCGUAAGAAUAAGCACCGGCUAACUUCGUGCCAGCCGCCGCAGUAAUAC